UUCCGGUUGAUCCCGCCGGACCUUACUGCUAUCGGGGUGGGACUAAGACAUGCGAGUCGAGCGUCUCUAGCUAUGUUGAGACGCGGCAGACGGCUCAGUAACACGUGGCUAACCUACCCUCAGGACGAGUACAAACCCGGGAAACUGGGGCUAAUACUCGAUAGGUGAGUAUAUCUGGAAUGAUUUCUCACUCAAAGGGCUUUGGAUACAUGCUUCCAACGUCGCCUGGGGAUGGGGCCGCGUCCGAUCAGGUUGUUGGUGAGGUAACGGCUCACCAAGCCUAUAACCGGUACGGGCCAUGAGAGUGGUAGCCCGGAGAUGGGUACUGAGACAAGUACCCAGGCCCUACGGGGCGCAGCAGUCGCGAAAACUCCGCAAUGCACGAAAGUGUGACGGGGCUACCCCGAGUGCCAUCCGCUGAGGGUGGCUUUUCUUUGGUAUAAUUAGCCAUUGGAAUAAGGAGAGGGCAAGACUGGUGUCAGCCGCCGCGGUAAUACCAGCUCUCCGAGUGGUAGGGAUGUUUAUUGGGCUUAAAGCGUCCGUAGCCGGCUUAGCAAGUCUCCUGUUAAAUUCAGCGACCUAAUCGUUGACCCGCGGGAGAUACUACUAAGCUAGGAGGCGGGAGAGGUCGACGGUACUUCUGGGGUAGGGGUGAAAUCCUAUAAUCCCGGGAGGACCACCAGUGGCGAAGGCUGUCGACUAGAACGCGCUCGACUGUGAGGGACGAAAGCUGGGGGAGCAAACCGGAUUAGAUACCCGGGUAGUCCCAGCUGUAAACUAUGC
rnacentral:rRNA from 1 species